rnacentral:sRNA from 1 species
AGGAAUGAAGAAUAGAAUUGUGAUUUUUUUUUUACUUCAAACUUAGUACAUUUGAAGUACCAUUCAACUAGCUACUUUUAGUUUUAAAAUGUAAUUAUCUUCUAGAAAACAUAGUAUUUUAUUAGAAUCAUAAACUGGUAUGAAAAAUAUAAUCACAGCAGAAAUCAGAUUUGGGUGAGACUUAAGAUCAGACUACAGAGUGGGGCGAGAGGUUCUAGUCAAUGGGGAGAGAGGUGUUGGUUAGGAGAGGUGGCUACAGACCACCCACCAGAUACGGGGUGUGCCCUAAAAGAUCAGAAAACAAGUGACUUCAGCCAUCGAGGAGGGAUCACAUGCUGACACCUCAGUGUCCCCUGGGUGAAUGCCAUCCUGAAUUAAAAUAUGAAUAGAAAGAGCCUGCACAGCAUUACAGAAGGAGCAAGAAUGUAAACAGAAACUGACCACAUUAUUUUUAAAUAUCAGACGUCCAGAAUGGAAAUGCCUCAGUACAAUCAAGCUGUUACCUAAAAAAGGUGACUGAGGAUCUAUGGCUUGAAUCCCACCCUGGGAAGACAGUAACAUUUAGAAAUAUUCAAGUGUAUAAAUUCUACAUUUUAACUGAAUUUAUUUUUAAAAUAAUUCUUUUGAAAUUAUCAUAAAGACAGAGAUAUGAUAGGACUUAUGCUGCAAACUCUGAAAUAACUCACCUAGAGAAAAAUCAGCAUAAAAGAAAGAAUGAUUGUAUAACUGAUGAUGAAUAAAUGAAGCGCCAAACAGUCAUUCCCAGGAAGGCUGAAUGAAGAUUGCCUUGAGUAGAUUAACGUGAAAGGAAAACAAAGAUGGACAUCUUUGGCAAUCUUGGGUGAAAGAUCUCUAAGCCAUGGAAUACUGCCCACUUCUCAUUUUCUCUCUCUCUUGUCUCUGUCUUCUCUACUACGGAUGACUAGAAGAAUAAAAGCAGACUUCGCCCCAGACAAUGGUCACUAAUGCUCCACAGCUGUGCAGACAGUCACGUGCGUCCAUACCUUCUAACAGGAGUGAGUACGGAAGACGAAGACACUUUUUCCUCUGGAAAGCACCAGAUAAAGAGUUUUGCCUUACAGAGUAACCAUAAGGCAAGAAGAUGAAAUGCACCAAAUACUUAGCAAACUAAAUGCAAACAGGUAAUGUUCAAUAAAUUGAUUUCUUCUUUCUCUGGUGAGUAUGACAUGAAUUCCAGACCUUCAAGACCUGAUAUGCCCUUAUCGCAAACAAGCUAUUGCAGACUCACCUCACAUCUUUCUUACACAGGUUAACAAUAUGUCAGGUUUUUAAAGCAGGAUCUAGAGCAGGGUGACAGCUUUCUCUCUCCUACACUCUUCCCUAUCUGUAGACUAAGGUAGGGAAUAAAAGUCCUAGGGGAGGGGAUGAGGGGAGGGGACCUGAAGAUCAACCUCAGUGAUUAAGAGCACUGGAUGCUUUUCCAGGACUCAGGUUUGCCUCCAAGAACCUACGCGGCAGUUCUCAACCUCUGUAACUCCAGUUCCAAGGGAUCUGACACCCACUUCUGGCUUCCUUGGGCACCAGGCAUGUUCAUGAUGCACAUACACACGUGUAAGGAAAAAACUAUAUACAUAAUUAAUUAAUUAAUAUCCCAGAGAACAAUUCGUUUGGCAACUAUGAAAUGGAAGAGUCUGGCUUAAGUAAACACUAUGUGCUUGGGCCAAAGGAUACUCAGAGUGCACUGAAGGCAAGUGAUAACAACAUGGGAGUGAGGACUCUGAGGACUGGCUCCUCUCACAACGGGUGUGAACAAGGGACACAGGACAGUGCUCUGGCAGUGAGGUAGCAAGAACAUGAAGUACAUAGGCAUCAUUUACCAUACCUCUACCUAGCACUGUAAAGAGAUCAAGAGGGAUAUCAAGAGACUACCCACCCCCAAGGAUCAGGAGUAACAGUGCUGAAUAGUUUCUGUCAACUUGGCUCAAAGUAAAAUCAUGUGAGAGGAGGAAACCUCAGUUAAGAAAGUGCCUCCCUAAAAUCUGUGUUGUGAGCCAGCCUGUCAGGUAUUUUCUUAAUUAGUGAUUGACAGGCUCAGCCCAUUAUGAGUGGUACCAUUCCUGGGCUUGUGGUCCUGGGUUCUCUAGGAUAGCAGGCUGAGCAAGCCAGCAAGCAGUAAGCCAGCAAGCAGCAAGCAGCAAGCAGCAAGCAGCAAGCAGCAAGCAUCACCUUUCCCUGACCUCUGCAUCAGCUUACUCCAAGCCUGGCAAUCUGAGUCAGACACAGCACACACAGGGCAGAAGAGCAGCCUCCACAUGUGUCCUCUGACUUCCACACACAACGUACUGCACAUACUCUAAUGGAUAAAUGCAAACCCCAAACAACCAACCCGACAGCCACCUAAGAUGCCAACAUAUUUGAUGCCCCAUGUCCUUUUGCUGGUAUUUUCAUUUCUAAGCAUGAUACUGUGUAGAAUCUUCAGAUUCUGACAUCCCAGUCCCAUGAUCUAUAAACUAGAAGAAGGGUGGUUAUGGAAGGAAGGAAGGGAGAGAGGGGGGGAGAAAAGGGGCUUGAGAAGUUCUGUUCAGAAGCAUACUUAACAAAAGAAACUUAUCAAGUAUAGGAUCUUAAAACCAUGUGCUCAAGAUUCUACCGUGCAGCAGUGUGUGCACACGUAGGGAUAUGGGCGACAUAAUUGGAUACUGCUCAACGCGAGGUAGACUUUAACAUUUACUAAGCCCUUACUAUGCUAUUUCAUUUGAUAUAUAAAAUUCCUAAGAAAA